AAUUACNCACUCCCGGCACGGGGAGGUAGUGACGAAAAAUAACGAUACGGGACUCAUCCGAGGCCCCGUAAUCGGAAUGAGUACACUUUAAACCCUUUAACGAGUAUCCAUUGGAGGGCAAGUCUGGUGCCAGCAGCCGCGGUAAUUCCAGCUCCAAUAGCGUAUAUUAAAGUUGUUGCGGUUAAAAAGCUCGUAGUUGGACUUGUGUCCCACGCUGUCGGUUCACCGUUCGUCGGUGUUUAACUGGCAUGCUCGUGCGGACGUCCUGCCGGUGGAUGCGGUCGGCCGUGGGCCUCUGGUCUGCGUGUCGGCGGUCCGAUUCAAUCCUACCGCGGUGCUCUUCACCGAGUGUCGAGGUGGGCCGGCACGUUUACUUUGAACAAAUUAGAGUGCUCAAAGCAGGCAGUGGUUCGCCUGAAUAUUGUGUGCAUGGAAUAAUGGAAUAGGACCUCGGUUCUAUUUUGUUGGUUUUCGGAACUUGAGGUAAUGAUUAAUAGGGACAAACGGGGGCAUUCGUAUUGCGACGUUAGAGGUGAAAUUCUUGGAUCGUCGCAAGACGAACCUAAGCGAAAGCAUUUGCCAUGGAUGUUUUCAUUAAUCAAGAACGAAAGUUAGAGGUUCGAAGGCGAUCAGAUACCGCCCUAGUUCUAACCAUAAACGAUGCCAGCUAGCGAUCCGCCGAAGUUCCUCCGAUGACUCGGCGGGCAGCUUCCGGGAAACCAAAGCUUUUGGGUUCCGGGGGAAGUAUGGUUGCAAAGCUGAAACUUAAAGGAAUUGACNGAAGGGCACCACCANGAGUGGAGCCUGCGGCUUAAUUUGACUCAACACGGGAAACCUCACCAGGCCCGGACACCGGAAGGAUNGACAGAUUGAGAGCUCUUUCUUGAUUCGGNGGGUGGUGGUGCAUGGCC
rnacentral:rRNA from 1 species